AGCGAACGCUGGCGGCAGGCCUAACACAUGCAAGUCGAACGAAGUCUUCGGACUUAGUGGCGGACGGGUGAGUAACACGUGGGAACGUGCCUUUAGGUUCGGAAUAACUCAGGGAAACUUGUGCUAAUACCGAAUGUGCCCUCCGGGGGAAAGAUUUAUCGCCUUUAGAGCGGCCCGCGUCUGUUUAGCUAGUUGGUGAGGUAAAGGCUCACCAAGGCGACGAUCAGUAGCUGGUCUGAGAGGAUGAUCAGCCACAUUGGGACUGAGACACGGCCCAAACUCCUACGGGAGGCAGCAGUGGGGAAUCUUGCGCAAUGGGCGAAAGCCUGACGCAGCCAUGCCGCGUGAAUGAUGAAGGUCUUAGGAUUGUAAAAUUCUUUUACCGGGGACGAUAAUGACGGUACCCGGAGAAGAAGCCCCGGCUAACUUCGUGCCAGCCGCCGCAGUAA
rnacentral:rRNA from 1 species